rnacentral:rRNA from 1 species
AUACGUAGGGUGCGAGCGUUGUCCGGAAUUACUGGGCGUAAAGAGCUCGUAGGUGGUUUGUCGCGUUGUUCGUGAAAUCUCACGGCUUAACUGUGAGCGUGCGGGCGAUACGGGCAGACUAGAGUACUGCAGGGGAGACUGGAAUUCCUGGUGUAGCGGUGGAAUGCGCAGAUAUCAGGAGGAACACCGGUGGCGAAGGCGGGUCUCUGGGCAGUWACUGACGCUGAGGAGCGAAAGCGUGGGGAGCGAACAGGAUUAGAUACCCUGGUAGUCCACGCCGUAAACGGUGGGUACUAGGUGUGGGUUUCCUUCCUUGGGAUCCGUGCCGUAGCUAACGCAUUAAGUACCCCGCCUGGGG